AAACUUACGAGGAUUCCCCUAGUAACGGCGAGCGAACCGGGAAUUGCCCAGCAUGGAAAUCGGGUUGCUAUGCAGCUCGAAUUGUAGUCUGGAGAAGCAUCCUCAGCGACGGACCGGGCCCAAGUCUCCUGGAAUGGGGCGCCAGGGAGGGUGAGAGCCCCGUUCGGCCUGAACCCUGUCGCAACACGAGGUGCUGUCAACGAGUCGGGUUGUUUGGGAAUGCAGCCCUAAUCGGGCGAUAAAUUCCGUCCAAGGCUAAAUAAGGGCGAGAGACCGAUAGCGAACAAGUACCGCGAGGGAAGGAUGAAAAGGACUUUGAAAAGAGAGUCAGAGAGUGCUUGAAAUUGUCGGGAGGGAAGCGGAUGGGGGCCGGCGGUGUGCCUCGGCCUGAAGCGGAACGGCAUACGUUGGUCCGUUGCUUGGCUCGAGGUGUGGAUCGUUGCAGACCUUAUCGCCAUGUAGAGCCUGGGCGAGUGAUGCCCACGGAGACACUGUCGUUAUGGUCGAUUAGCAGCAUGGCACGCGUCUUACGGACGGGCUUAACAGCUCUUGCGUGCUUAUUGCAACGAUCUGUGGGCUCCCCAUUCGAC
rnacentral:rRNA from 1 species